GGAAAUAUUUACGUCAAAAUAUGGUUUUGACUGUUUACGCUAAAUGCUAUUAUCUAGAGCAUCCACAAAACCUCAAAACUGCUUCAGUUUUGAACCAACCAAAAGUGACAAGUUGGAUAACUAAUAGAGAGAAAUAAAGGUUUGAACAUCUUUUAACCGAUCGAAAUAUGGGACGUAAUCAAGAGGUGCUGUGUGAUGGACAGAUUAUUGAUGGGGCAUACUACUGAAAGAAACCAGUGCAGCCUGUGGAUGAUCCCUAUGGUUUAAAUGCUGUCAUUGUUUUUGGAACUUUCUCUGUCCCAUUAGCAGACAUGUAUCCUGAAAUUACACAUUUGGAAGAACCAACAGUUGGAAUUCCUGAACCUGAGGAAGAGAAUUCUGCAUCUUAGGCAGCACCAGUGUAACAGAAUUUACAAUAUGGCUCCUUCCUACCAUUUCAAUCUGAAGACACAUUACUUGCACAAGGAAAUUAAACUUCAUCAACACAAUCAUUUAAAAGCUAGAUAAAAGUAGUUUGAUUUUGUAGCAUUGUUGUUUUCCGAUUAAAUGGUGCUUUUCCUUUAUCAAGCAUUCAGAAAUGUUCAAAAGAAGCAACAUGGGGGGAUCCAAGGUGGCGGCGACCCAGCAAGACUGACUCUAUAGUGCUCCUCCCAAGACUUGGGUACAGUGGGUCACCCACGCCCUA